UACGUAUGGAGCGAGCGUUGUCCGGAAUUAUUGGGCGUAAAGGGUACGCAGGCGGUUUAAUAAGUCGAAUGUUAAAGAUCGGGGCUCAACCCCGUAAAGCAUUGGAAACUGAUAAACUUGAGUAGUGGAGAGGAAAGUGGAAUUCCUAGUGUAGUGGUGAAAUACGUAGAUAUUAGGAGGAAUACCAGUAGCGAAGGCGACUUUCUGGACACAAACUGACGCUGAGGUACGAAAGCGUGGGGAGCAAACAGGAUUAGAAACCCCAGUAGUCC
rnacentral:rRNA from 1 species